rnacentral:rRNA from 1 species
UUAAGUGAAUAAGGGCGCACGGUGGAUGCCUUGGCACUAGGAGCCGAUGAAGGACGGGACUAACACCGAUAUGCUUCGGGGAGCUGUAAGUAAGCUUUGAUCCGGAGAUUUCCGAAUGGGGAAACCCAGCAUCUUUUAUAGGAUGUUACUUUUCAGUGAAUACAUAGCUGAUUAGAGGUAGACGCAGAGAACUGAAACAUCUAAGUACCUGCAGGAAGAGAAAGAAAAUUCGAUUCCCUGAGUAGCGGCGAGCGAAACGGGAAAAGCCCAAACCAAGAGGCUUGCCUCUUGGGGUUGUAGGACUCCGAUAUGGUAGUCCAGUGAAAUAGUCGAAGGACCUGGAAAGGUCUGCUAGAAAGGGUAAAAGCCCCGUAGACAAAAUUUGACUGGCACCUAGGAGGAUCCUGAGUACGGCGGAACACGAGGAAUUCCGUCGGAAUCCGGGAGGACCAUCUCCCAAGGCUAAAUACUCCCUAGUGACCGAUAGUGAACCAGUACCGUGAGGGAAAGGUGAAAAGCACCCCGGAAGGGGAGUGAAAUAGAUCCUGAAACCGUGUGCCUACAACAAGUUAGAGCCCGUUAAUGGGUGAUAGCGUGCCUUUUGUAGAAUGAACCGGCGAGUUACGAUUACUUGCGAGGUUAAGUUGAAAAAACGGAGCCGUAGCGAAAGCGAGUCUGAAUAGGGCGAAUGAGUAAGUGGUCGUAGACCCGAAACCAUGUGAUCUACCCAUGUCCAGGUUGAAGGUGCGGUAAAACGCACUGGAGGACCGAACCCACGUACGUUGAAAAGUGCGGGGAUGAGGUGUGGGUAGCGGAGAAAUUCCAAACGAACUUGGAGAUAGCUGGUUCUCUCCGAAAUAGCUUUAGGGCUAGCCUCAGAGUAAGAAUGAUGGAGGUAGAGCACUGUUUGGACUAGGGGCCCAUCUCGGGUUACCGAAUUCAGAUAAACUCCGAAUGCCAUCCAUUCAUCUCUGGGAGUCAGACUGUGAGUGAUAAGAUCCAUAGUCGAAAGGGAAACAGCCCAGACCACCAGCUAAGGUCCCCAAAUAUAUGUUAAGUGGAAAAGGAUGUGGGGUUGCACAGACAACUAGGAUGUUGGCUUAGAAGCAGCCACCAUUUAAAGAGUGCGUAAUAGCUCACUAGUCGAGUGACCCUGCGCCGAAAAUGUACCGGGGCUAAACAUAUUACCGAAGCUGUGGAGCACACCAUUAGGUGUGUUGGUAGGAGAGCGUUCUAAGGGCGUUGAAGGUAGAUCGUGAGGACUGCUGGAGCGCUUAGAAGUGAGAAUGCCGGUAUGAGUAGCGAAAGACAGGUGAGAAUCCUGUCCACCGAAUGACUAAGGUUUCCUGGGGAAGGCUCGUCCGCCCAGGGUUAGUCGGGACCUAAGCCGAGGCCGAAAGGCGUAGGCGAUGGAUAACAGGUUGAUAUUCCUGUACCCGUUGUUUUUGUUUGAGCAAUGGAGGGACGCAGGAGGCUAAGGAAUCAGACGAUUGGAAAUGUCUGUCCAAGCAAUGAGUCUUGAUGUGAGUCAAAUGCUUGCAUCUCUAAGGACAAGUUGUGAUGAGGAGGGAAAUAAUAGUACCGAAGUUCCCGAUGUCACACUGCCGAGAAAAGCUUCUAGUAAGAAAACAAUGGCCCGUACCGCAAACCGACACAGGUAGUCGAGGAGAGAAUCCUAAGGUGAGCGAGAGAACUCUCGUUAAGGAACUCGGCAAAAUGACCCCGUAACUUCGGGAGAAGGGGUGCUGAUCUAACGAUCAGCCGCAGUGAAUAGGCCCAAGCGACUGUUUAUCAAAAACACAGGUCUCUGCAAAAUCGAAAGAUGACGUAUAGGGGCUGACGCCUGCCCGGUGCUGGAAGGUUAAGAGGAGUGCUUAGCGUAAGCGAAGGUACGAAUUGAAGCCCCAGUAAACGGCGGCCGUAACUAUAACGGUCCUAAGGUAGCGAAAUUCCUUGUCGGGUAAGUUCCGACCCGCACGAAAGGCGUAACGAUUUGGGCACUGUCUCAACGAGAGACUCGGUGAAAUUUUAGUACCUGUGAAGAUGCAGGUUACCCGCGACAGGACGGAAAGACCCCAUGGAGCUUUACUGCAGUUUGAUAUUGAGUGUUUGUACCACAUGUACAGGAUAGGUAGGAGCCUUAGAAGUCGGGACGCUAGUUUCGACAGAGGCGCUGGUGGGAUACUACCCCUGUGUUAUGACCACUCUAACCCGCACCACUAAUCGUGGUGGGAGACAGUGUCAGAUGGGCAGUUUGACUGGGGCGGUCGCCUCCUAAAGAGUAACGGAGGCGCCCAAAGGUUCCCUCAGAAUGGUUGGAAAUCAUUCGCAGAGUGUAAAGGCACAAGGGAGCUUGACUGCGAGACCUACAAGUCGAGCAGGGACGAAAGUCGGGCUUAGUGAUCCGGUGGUUCCGCAUGGAAGGGCCAUCGCUCAACGGAUAAAAGCUACCCUGGGGAUAACAGGCUUAUCUCCCCCAAGAGUCCACAUCGACGGGGAGGUUUGGCACCUCGAUGUCGGCUCGUCGCAUCCUGGGGCUGUAGUCGGUCCCAAGGGUUGGGCUGUUCGCCCAUUAAAGCGGCACGCGAGCUGGGUUCAGAACGUCGUGAGACAGUUCGGUCCCUAUCCGUCGCGGGCGUUGGAAAUUUGAGAGGAUCUGUCCUUAGUACGAGAGGACCGGGAUGGACUUACCGCUGGUGUACCAGUUGUCUCGCCAGAGGCAUCGCUGGGUAGCUAUGUAGGGAAGGGAUAAACGCUGAAAGCAUCUAAGUGUGAAGCCCACCUCAAGAUGAGAUUUCCCAUUUCUUUAAGAAAGUAAGAUCCCUGAGAGAUGAUCAGGUAGAUAGGUCAGGAGUGGAAGUGCAGUGAUGUACGGAGCGGACUGAUACUAAUCGAUCGAGGACUUAACCAA